UACGUAGGGUGCGAGCGUUAAUCGGAAUUACUGGGCGUAAAGCGUGCGCAGGCGGUUUUGUAAGCCAGAUGUGAAAGCCCCGGGCUUAACCUGGGAAUGGCAUUUGGGACUGCAAGGCUGGAGUUUGGCAGAGGAGACUGGAAUUCCUGGUGUAGCAGUGAAAUGCGUAGAUAUCAGGAGGAAUACCGAUGGCGAAGGCAGGUCUCUGGGCUAUAACUGACGCUCAUACACGAAAGCGUGGGGAGCAAACAGG
rnacentral:rRNA from 1 species